rnacentral:rRNA from 1 species
GACGAACGCUGGCGGCGUGCUUAACACAUGCAAGUCGAACGGAAAGGCCCUGCUUUUGUGGGGUGCUCGAGUGGCGAACGGGUGAGUAACACGUGAGUAACCUGCCCUUGACUUUGGGAUAACUUCAGGAAACUGGGGCUAAUACCGGAUAGGAGCUCCUGCUGCAUGGUGGGGGUUGGAAAGUUUCGGCGGUUGGGGAUGGACUCGCGGCUUAUCAGCUUGUUGGUGGGGUAGUGGCUUACCAAGGCUUUGACGGGUAGCCGGCCUGAGAGGGUGACCGGCCACAUUGGGAGUGGGAUACGGCCCAGACUCCUACGGGAGGCAGCAGUGGGGAAUAUUGCACAAUGGGCGGAAGCCUGAUGCAGCAACGCGGCGUGAGGGAUGACGGCCUUCGGGUGGUAAACCGCUUUCGCCUGUGACGAAGCGUGAGUGACGGUAAUGGGUAAAGAAGCAGCGGCUAACUACGU